rnacentral:misc_RNA from 1 species
GGAAGAGAGAAAGAGAGUGUGCAGAAAGCAGAGAGAGACGCACACAACAACAACAUACCCAUUGUGAUCCCACAAAUACCAUAUAGGGCGAAUACAGUAUACGUAGACAUAUGUGGCUCGAAUCCUUCAAAAAUGUUGUCGGGUGGGCAUUGCAUCCUUCAAGAGUUCUUUUUAAGAGGAUCUAACAUAGAUGUGAGCUGUGGCAGCAUUGUUGGAGAAUCAAAGCAACAUAGAUUCCCCCAUCUAUACUAGAACUUCUAUUUA